rnacentral:rRNA from 1 species
AACGAACGCUGGCGGCGUGGAUAAGACAUGCAAGUCGAACGGGAACUUUCGCUGUAGCAAUACAGUGAAAGUUUUAGUGGCGAACGGGUGCGUAACACGUGGGGAAUCUGCCGAGAAGUGGGGGAUAGCUCGUCGAAAGGCGAAUUAAUACCGCAUAUGAUCAGCCAAGACAUCUUGGCGACAUCAAAGCCGGGGCAACCUGGCGCUUCUUGAUGACCCCGCGGCCUANCAGCUAGUUGGUGAGGUAACCGGCCCACCAAGGCGAUGACGGGUAGCUGGUCUGAGAGGACGACCAGCCACACUGGAACUGAGACACGGUCCAGACACCGUACGGGUGCAGCAGUCGAGUAAUUUUUCUCAAGUGGGGAAACCCUGAAGGAGCGACG